UGGGCACGACGUCGCAUGCUUCCGGGCGCAAUGGCGGCCGCGGGAAUUCGAUUCGUAUUACCGCGGCUGCUGGCACAGAGUUAGCCGGUGCUUAUUCUGUCGGUAACGUCAAAACAGCAAAGUAUUAAUUUACUGCCCUUCCUCCCAACUUAAAGUGCUUUACAAUCCGAAGACCUUCUUCACACACGCGGCAUGGCUGGAUCAGGCUUUCGCCCAUUGUCCAAUAUUCCCCACUGCUGCCUCCCGUAGGAGUCUGGACCGUGUCUCAGUUCCAGUGUGACUGAUCAUCCUCUCAGACCAGUUACGGAUCGUCGCCUUGGUGAGCCAUUACCCCACCAACUAGCUAAUCCGACCUAGGCUCAUCUGAUAGCGCAAGGCCCGAAGGUCCCCUGCUUUCUCCCGUAGGACGUAUGCGGUAUUAGCGUCCGUUUCCGAACGUUAUCCCCCACUACCAGGCAGAUUCCUAGGCAUUACUCACCCGUCCGCCGCUCUCAAGAGAAGCAAGCUUCUCUCUACCGCUCGACUUGCAUGUGUUAGGCCUGCCGCCAGCGUUCAAUCUGAGCCAUGAUCAAACUCUAAUCACUAGUGAAUUCGCGGCCGCCUGCAGGUCGACCAUAUGGGAGAGCUCCCAACGCGUUGGAUGC
rnacentral:rRNA from 1 species